AUGGCCAACAGCUCGCCUUCCUCUGUCAACAAGCACAUAUCCGAGACCUCGUCGAGAUGCCGGACAGAGUGUGUCGCCACCGCCCACAACUUCGAGGUGACUGAGUAUUCGCUGCUCGAGGGUAUGGGUAUCGACAAGUUCGUUAGCUCCAGCACAUUCAGCGUCGGCGGCUAUGACUGGAACAUCAGGAUCUACCCUGAUGGGUGGAAGGAAGAAGACAAAGGUGCCUACAUGUCUGUCUUCUUGCGCAUCUGCAGUAAGCCAACAACGGGUGUCAAGGUGAAGUACACAUUCGGUUUAUUGGAGAAAGAUGGAAAAGUUAGUUGUCUGUACAGCGAAGGGAGUACCUUUCAGUCCGGUUUUUGGGGCUGCCCCAAGUUUAUUGAGAAGUCCAAGCUGAAGGAACUGCUAUCCCGCAAUGACGACUGCUUCACGCUCAGGUGCGUUUUGACCGUGAUGAAAGAGCCUCGCACUGAAGAUGUAAGCACAGUCAUAGUCCAAGUGCCGCAGUCAAACCUGCACACACACUUUGUGAACAUGCUCAAGGACGGAGAAGGCAUGGAUGUGACGUUCAGUGUCGGCGGCCAACAGUUCAGUGCACAUAGAUGCGUGUUAGCCGCGCGAUCCUUGGUGUUCAAGGCCGAGCUCUUUGGUCAGAUGAAGGAGACCGCCAUGAAACACAUCAAGAUCGAUGACAUGGAUCCUUCUGUAUUCGAGGCACUUCUGCACUUCAUAUACACUGAUUCUCUGCCAAGCGACUCGGAUCUGGAUCGGAAUGUGGAAUUGCAGCACUUGUUGGUUGCCGCAGAUCGGUACGGACUGGACCAGCUGAAGGCUAUGUGUGAAGGGAAGCUAUGCCAGAAAAUCGAUGUGCAAACAGUGGCAACCACCCUUGCUUUAGCAGAGCAGCACCACGCCGCGCAACUCAAGGAUGCUUGUCUCAGACACCUUUCUUCACAGGAGGUGCUUCGAGCUGUCAAAGAGACUGAUGGAUUCAAGCACCUCACAGCAAGCUGCCCAUGGAUCAUGAUGGACAUUUUAGAGAAGGUCGCGCCACCGUCAGGAGCAUGA
rnacentral:rRNA from 1 species